rnacentral:rRNA from 1 species
UACAGAGGGGGCAAGCGUUAUCCGGAAUUAUUGGGCGUAAAGAGCUCGUAGGCGGUUUGUCGCGUCUGCUGUGAAAACUGGAGGCUCAACCUCCAGCUUGCAGUGGGUACGGGCAAACUAGAGUGCGGUAGGGGAGAUUGGAAUUCCUGGUGUAGCGGUGGAAUGCGCAGAUAUCAGGAGGAACACCGAUGGCGAAGGCAGAUCUCUGGGCCGUAACUGACGCUGAGGAGCGAAAGCAUGGGGAGCGAACAGG